rnacentral:piRNA from 1 species
UAAAUACUUAAAAAAAAAUUU